rnacentral:lncRNA from 1 species
GUUAGCAAGAUGAACAAAGAUGCGCAGAUGAGAGCAGCGAUUAACCAAAAGUUAAUAGAAACUGGAGAAAGAGAACGCCUCAAAGAGUUGCUGAGAGCUAAAUUAAUUGAGUGCGGCUGGAAGGAUCAGUUGAAGGCACACUGUAAAGAUAAUGAUUUUAAAUGAUAUGAUUUGUUUUUUGCUUUUGCAUAAGAGGUAAUUAAAGAAAAAGGACUAGAACACGUUACUGUUGAUGACUUGGUGGCUGAAAUCACUCCAAAAGGCAGAGCCCUGGUACCUGACAGUGUAAAGAAGGAGCUCCUACAGAGAAUCAGAACAUUCCUUGCUCAGCAUGCCAGUCUUUAAGGGGGAAUUAGAAUGUGCUGGUCUGUGGAUUUAUUUCUGAAAGUAAAACUUGCCAUAAUUAGAAAUUGAUUUCCCAAAAUAAAGUCCUUUUUUGUAUGAUGGUAUACAGUUUUCAGUAAUGAUGUAUACAUUGUAUUGAUUUUUUCCCUAAAUGUGUUAUUUUAAUAAAUAUCUCAUGAAUAAGCUUCAAUUUUUUAUUUUAAAAU